UCUGAGUUCAAAGAUUUAUCGCUGAAAGAGGCCUCGCGUCUGAUUAGCUGGUUGGUGAGGUAACGGCCCACCAAGGCGACGAUCAGUAGCCGGACUGAGAGGUUGACCGGCCACAUUGGGACUGAGAUACGGCCCAGACUCCUACGGGAGGCAGCAGUGGGGAAUAUUGGGCAAUGGGCGCAAGCCUGACCCAGCAACGCCGCGUGAAGGAAGAAGGCUUUCGGGUUGUAAACUUCUUUUAAGAGGGAAGAGCAGAAGACUGUACCUCUAGAAUAAGCCACGGCUAACUACGUGCCAGCAGCCGCGGUAAUACGUAGGUGGCAAGCGUUGUCCGGAUUUACUGGGUGUAAAGGGCGUGCAGCCGGGAAUGCAAGUCAGAUGUGAAAUCCAUGGGCUUAACCCAUGAACUGCAUUUGAAACUGUAUUUCUUUGAGUACUGGAGAGGCAAUCGGAAUUCCUAGUGUAGCGGUGAAAUGCGUAGAUAUUAGGAGGAACACCAGUGGCGAAGGCGGAUUGCUGGACAGCAACUGACGGUGAGGCGCGAAAGUGUGGGGAGCAAACAGGAUUAGAUACCCUGGUAGUCCACACUGUAAACGAUGAAUACUAGGUGUGCGGGGACUGACCCCCUGCGUGCCGCAGUUAACACAAUAAGUAUUCCACCUGGGGAGUA
rnacentral:rRNA from 1 species